GCCACAGGAUAUGGUUGAACAUUCCCUGGUUUGUAGGUUUAUCUGAAGGUUGAAAAUUCCACCAGCAUAUGAUCUAGGUGGGGAUCUCUCUGUGAGGGUCACUGUAUUUCACCUGUAUUAUGCUGAGGUCUUUCAUUGGAUAAGAACAUGCUCAUAUCAUCUAUUUGAUUGGAUCAUGAGUUUAAGACAGCCCUGGGUCACAAUCACAUAACAUUUUUCUGCAUUGCUUGCUCUGAGUUUUGGGAGAGCUUUAAUUUAUCAGGAAUAGACUUCUCCUAAGGCAAAAUCUGAGGGAGUGGGAGGGGCACGUGGGCCAGAAAACUUGUACCAAAGCUGGAAUAUCCAAGGCAGACUCAGAGAGAAGGGUCCUAAUAUCAACAUUUGACUGAAGCCAAAAACAGAAGAGAACAUGGAAGUUCUGAGAAUGACAAAUAAACAAACAGUUUAAGUUUUACAUGUAUUGAAUAUUUUUAUAAUCCAUGAAAAUUCUAGAACAUAAUGUAACAACGGGAUAAGGAAGAGAGCUUGAGAUGUUAAAUGAUAAAGACCCCAAGGCAAGUUGCCAGAGAAAGAACAGAACCUUUUUGGCAGAAAUAUGUUUAUGUUGCAAAUUAUCCUCUCAUAUACAUAUGUGUGUGUGUGUGUGUGUGUGUGUGUGUAAGGAAACAUUCCAUGGAACAUCCUUCUUUCCUACAGUCAAGAUCACCCUCACUCCACAAGGGAACCUAAACAAAAUGUCAUAUCAAACAGAAAAAAUAAUGCACUUUGUAUAACCAUUAGAGAGUCUCUAUUUGCAUAUCAAAAUGUAGAUACUUAAUGUUAACAUCGAAAAUAGUACUUUAAUUUGCAUAUGAGAUGAAUUUUCUUUAGACUGUUUAUGUCUGUGAGUUGUCUUUCUUAACAAGGACAUACUCUUCUCUUAGUACAAUUUAACUUAAUGUACUUUUUGUUCUAUGUCCUGUAUCAAUUCUGUUUUUUUUUUCUAAACACUGACAAAGAUAUCCCAUGGCUACUGAUUAAUAAAUUCAAUUAAUGGGUAUUUAACUUAUGUACAUUAUUUCAAGAGUAGACAGUUGUGGUUUCCAGACAUGUACCUCACAGAUGUUGCUGAUGCUGACUGGCUCUUCUCUUCUAAUCUUAGCAAAUAAAGUGGGAAAUUUGACUUUCCUGAACACUCAGCUGACAACAGGAGAGAGGAGGCUCUGUGGCCUCCUAUGAGCUGACACAGCCACCCUUGGUGUCAGUGUCCCCAGGACAGACAGCCAGGAUCACCUGCUCUGGAGAUGUACUGAGGGAUAAUUAUGCUGACUGGUACCAGGAGAAGCCAGGUCAGGCCCCUGUGCUGCUGAUAUAUAAAGAUGGACCAGGAAGACUGUGGACCAAGCCAUGAGCAGGUCUGGCCAAGUUCUACUAGAUCUGAGACCUCCAGGCCAUCCUUUUGUCUAGCCCUACAUGUUGACUCUGCAGGAAUGGGUUUAGUGCUGCUAUAAUCAGAAUUUACUGGUGAUUUGGGGCCUCUGUAGUGACUUGGGGAAAUAAGAAUGAGAUGGAAGAUGAGAGAGAUGCAGAGAAACAUCACUUGGCCUUAAGUUUCCAUACGAUGAUGAUUGGGUCAUUCCUUCCAAAUAUCAUACAUCAGGCCCCCAAAAUGCCCAGCUCAGCUCAACACCUGAGGUUCCAGGCUUCCAUGGCAGCCUGGGAUUUUGAACAGCAAAGGCAGAUGAGGGGACACUGCGGCAUCUGCCUCGAUACCCUUUUGUGAGCUCACCCGCACUCAUCUGCUGGGACCUUCUAGAAGCUCAGAGCUGUACCCUCACAGGAAAGUGCUAUUGUUUCCAGAAAACUUCCUUUCUCAUAUUUAGGUUCAAUUUUGAGUGUUUUGGUUUGAUGACUGCGUAAGGCCAAGAACCCAAGGCCCUGCCUUAAUACAAGUUGACACUGAAAGGCCUUCCAGCUCCAGACUUCCCAUCGUGGAUCCUGAGGCCUCAGUUGCAAUCCUAUUGUGGGUCAGGUUCUCCUUCUGCGGGUGAUGCCUCCCUCACUCCUUCCAGAUUCUCUGUGCAUGGAAAUCUUUACCUCAGAGUCUACUUCCAGGGAACCCAAACUAAGAUGGUCAGCUCUCACCAAAAUGAACCACCAUGGACCUGAGAUGGCCACUAUACACUAGAAUGCACCAGUGAACUUCCUAAAUUUCCACUGUGAGCAUCCAAAUGCCCAACUAUUUCUGAGUGUUUCUUCUAUUCUUAUAAAAUGAAAAGGGAGCCUGAAAUGCCAGCUACUAUGAGUCCUGAAGGAGAAGAGGAAUCAUAUCUUCCUGCAAGGAAUCCACAGAAAAGGGAGCAACCUCACACCAUGCAGGGACCAGAGAUGCUCCCACAGGGGCAGCUGUAGGAUGGAUACUGCCCACCUCCACCCUGCACAUCCUGCACAAUCACUCUUUCACCCCCUCUUCAGCUUAUCAAAGUUGGCACUUACGAAGCCAGCACAGCUCACCCUUGGCAAUCCGACUCCUUCAAGCCUCCAUCAACCACACAAUCUCAACAUAAAGAAUCUCCCCAAAAUAAAAUA